rnacentral:lncRNA from 1 species
CAUCUUGCCGUGCUGUGGCACUGAGCGUGAAGCCAGCAGGCCAGAAGUGGAGCCAAAAGAUGAGGACUACAGACCAGGCGCAGUGGCUCACGCCUGUAAUCCCAACACUUUGGGAGACCGAGGCGGGCAGAUCACGAGACGGGAGUUUCACUCUUUUUGCUCAAGGUGGAGUGCAAUGGCGCGAUCUCGGCUCACUGCGACCUCUGCCUCCCAGAUUCAAGCGAUUCUCCUGCGUCAGCCUCCUGAGUAGCUAAGAUUACAGGCAUGAGCCACCGCGCCCGGCCUAAAAUGUCAUUUUCUUUGUUUGGUGCCACGGGGAAGUGAAAUAGUCCUGAACAAAAUUAUGUAUCCUAUCUGAGGUUGGGAUGAGGUACAGAGGUGGGAAGAAAAAGUCCACAGUCAAGUACAUGGACUGCACAUAUAAGGAGAGCAUGACUGAAAUGCUGAGGGGGCUGCAGGGAGAGGCACGAGUUACUUAGAUGUAGUGAUGACAAGCCUAAGUGAGGCAAAUUGAAGUCCUCAGGGUUUUCUGUGUUUUUGUUUUCCAUGUGGCUAAAAAUUCUGUGAUUUUUGCAUACUACUGCAGAAAUACAGAAUCAGGUCUUUUAUUUCAUGACUUACUGACACUGGCUUAAUUUCUUUGCACGGUUCUACCCUAUUUCCAAAAAGCUAAAGAGAGGAAUGUACUAGACCACCCUCCAUGCUGCACUAUGCCAUAGUCUCUUUUGAGCAUACAUUAUAUUCCCAUCCAUGACAAGCAGCCAGGGCAGAAGAGCUCUCUACAUAUGUGCCACCUUGUCUCCAAAACCUGCUGUCUCCUUUGGACAGACUGGCCCAUCCCUGACCACUGUUCUCCCCUCUGUCUUCAAUUUCUGAUGACAACAGAAGGAGAGAUUCUGUGUUUCCAAGGAUGUCAUUCUCAACCUUGCCUCCACAUUUGAUUUUAUAGAACAACCAAUAAAUGUGGUUUCACCUUCCUUGAGUUU